rnacentral:rRNA from 1 species
AACGGGGGAGGCGGACGUUAUUCAUCUUCAUUGGGCGUAAAGGGUGCGUAGGUGGCGCCAUAAGUCAGGUGUGAAAUCUCGGAGCUUAACUCCGAAACUGCAUUCGAUACUGCCGUGCUUGAGGACUGGAGAGGAGACUGGAAUUUACGGUGUAGCGGUGAAAUGCGUAGAUAUCGUAAGGAAGACCAGUGGCGAAGGCGGGUCUCUGGACAGUUCCUGACGCUGAGGCACGAAGGUCAGGGGAGCAAACGGG